AUUGAACGCUGGCGGCAGGCCUAACACAUGCAAGUCGAACGAGUGGCGGACGGGUGAGUAAUGUAUGGGGAACUGCCCGAUAGAGGGGGAUAACUACUGGAAACGGUGGCUAAUACCACAUACUAUCGGAUGUACCCAUAUGGGAUUAGCUAGUAGGUGGGGUAACGGCUCACCUAGGCGACGAUCCCUAGCUGGUCUGAGAGGAUGACCAGCCACACUGGGACUGAGACACGGCCCAGACUCCUACGGGAGGCAGCAGUGGGGAAUCUUCGACAAUGGGCGCAAGCCUGACCGAGCAACGCCGCGUGAGUGAAGAAGGUUUUCGGGUCGUAAAGCUCUGUUAUUAGGGAGGCGGUAUCUGAACAAAAAGCCACGGCUAACUACGUGCCAGCAGCCGCGGUAAUAC
rnacentral:rRNA from 1 species